CCCUCGUUCCCACAACAGAUCGAUCCCUCGUUCUCACAGCAGAUCGAUCCCCUCGAUCCAGUAGACUCGCCCAACCAUCCUCUCCUUGAUACCCUCGCACGCGCUAGGGUUCCUGUGCCGCCGCCACACGUGAGCUUGUCGACCAGCCCAACGUCCUCCGGAUCGCCGCCACCCCUCUCCGGAUCGCCGCCGUCACCGCCCCGGAUCGCUGCCUUCGCCGUCAUCCGGAUCGCCGCCGUCGCCGUCGGAAUCGCCGCCAACGUCUCGUCGCCUCGGAUCGCCGCCGUCGCCGUCGGGAUGGCUGCAGCCGUCUCUCCAGAUCGCACGGGCGUUCAUCGUCUCCGGCCUCGCCGUUGUCGUUCCCGUAUCUGCCCUCACCCGAAACCUAAUGUGCACGCAAUCUUCGUGUCGCUUCUUCCUUGUGUUCCAUGUCGGCGGCUAGGCCCUCUGGUCCGGCUGUCCCUGGUUUUCUCUACCGCCAACGCCUCAAUUCUGCCCCUCCCCCACACAUCCCUCCCUCUCACGACCGUCACAGCCAUCAUCGCGGUGUCAGUCAACUCCUGCCCCGACCUCCAUCAUGUAUUUGUAGAAGAUGGUGACGCGUGAUGAGUGGCUCAAGGUCCGCAAGGAGGGGAUGAAAUUCCUCAUCACGUUGGACUUCAUCGACGCCGCGGACAGGGUCUCCAUCCGGUACCCAACGUGAACGGACAUUGGGUUCAGAUUUCAGACGGAGAACUUUAGGAGACUAUCGACAGGACCAACGAUCUUAACCCCACUGUUCGGUUCUGAUUCUGUUUCUCCUAAUUUUGGUUUGUAUUUCGGUGUUUUGUUAUAGAAAAAGUCGAUGGAGGAGGAGUAAUAUCUUACAAUUUUGGCUAACUUUGUUGUACGCCAACAUAAUUUUUCUUUGUAUCUGAAAAUUUCAGGGAGAACACAGAAGCAUUCGCGCCUCAUGAUUUCUGCAUCAUACUUAACGAACUUCAAAUUACUGAUCUUUGUAAUCAAUCUUUUUUUUUAUAUAAUUCUGCAUAGGAGGCAUUGAGCAUGUGUGUGUGUGUGUCAUGCUUGGUCAUAUUGAUUUUCUUGAAAAAAAAUUGGCAGGUUCCAGUUACUGAUUUUUGCAUGAGUUGUGUUUUUAUUGGAUAAAAUGUCACAAGCAAGCCGAGUCCACAGGUGAAUUUCUUCAGGCACAUCAGUGCAAAAUAAUGAAGGGGAGCCUUGGCGCAGUGGUAAAGCUGCUGCCUUGUGACCAUGAGGUCAUGGGUUCAAGUCCUGGAAACAGCCUCUUACAGAAAUGUAGGGAAAGGCUGCGUACUAUAGACCCAAAGUGGUCGGACCCUUCCCUGGACCCUGCGCAAGCGGGAGCUACAUGCACCAGGUUGCCCUUUUUACAUCAGUGCAAAAUAAUAAUAUGACAAUUGAUAGUCUCUCCACUGUUUUCCACACAAGUUGGAAGAGAAAAUAAUGGCAUGUAAACACAUUUACUUUUUGCUGUUUGUAGGGCACCGUGAUACAUGUCCCUGUCAGGCCGUUUGUUUGUUUUGUUAGUCCUCCCAUGUCAUCCUCUUUUGUCAGGUCGUAUAGAUUCAACAACUUGAGGCUCGCCCAUGGUCAAUUGGACCAGAAGAGUUGGUUUCCUUAUUCUCUUCUAUUUCCAUCUGUUCCGAUCCGAUCCGAUGGCCGGUGGUGUGGUUGCAUUGCACGACCCCAUAAGUGGGGUUCAAAGAUCACCGUCACUGGCUGUGUGAGGCCACGAAUGUCAUCUUGGUCCCCUUACUACUAUAGUCCUGAUCCACGAUUGUCAUCUUGGUCCCCUGUAUGAGUUAAUUACAUGAUGUUGUGUUCUCAAGUUUUACUCUGAAUUUGUUAGAUGCUGGAUGAAAUUCACAGCUAAGCAAUUUUUUCGUAUGUCUUACCAGUGGUGGAAGGAAGAUUGAACUGAUAAAUUUCUGCAACCACCUUGAGGUCCAUAACUUUCUCCUAAUUAUAUGCAGCCCAAUUCGUAAAGAUGUAUUUGUUUGCGGGAGAGGACUGCCUAUGAUCAGAAGCAAACAACAUGUGACCAUCAUAUGUGUGAGAGAUGGGAUUCUUUGUCUGCUAGAGAGGCUGGUGCCAAAUCAACAUAGGAGCAAGGGCAGGAUAAGGGGACUGAGGUGAAGUCUUUUCUUCUCCGUCUCUAUGGUAUGCUGAUACGUUCAAACCUGCAUUUUAACUAUUGAUACCUAUAAUUCAUUGAUUAGCAUUUUAACUACUGCAAUUGAUUUAUGAAAAAUUGUUAGGUUGUAGUAUCUAUCUAACAUCUGGAAGAGAAAAAAUGUGAUGAACAUUUUUUUCACAAGGUUAUGUAUAUCUAUCUUUAAAAUGUGGUACAGAGAGCAGAAGGUUUUAAAUGCUUGCAAAUCCACUUUUAUGAGCAGCACCUGGGUCCAAUGAACCAAAUAUGCAAGCACGCAUGACAAUGAUGUUUUUUCUUCUCCAUUAGUGAAUCUUCCUUUUCUAAGUCAUAUUUAGUUAGGAAGGCACCUAUCUAGAUUUUCUGAGAGGUUGCGAGUGAUCAGAACUGAACAUUUUUAUUAUGUCUACCAUGCCUUUCAUCUGCUUUGCUCUUCUACUUCUGUAUAGUUAUCGUUAAUUAUGUAAUACAUGUACAAGCCAUUUGGUCAGAUACAAUCCUUUUGUUAAUUUAUAAAUUCUGUUGAAAGAGAUCUAAUUAGUUGGCACAAUUCAUAAUGUUUUGCAGUAUAUUGAUUAUCCUUUCAUCAUUAAUUUUUUAUGCUGUCGUGUCCCUCUUUGGUGUUGAGGAACUCUGACAAUCGAUAACAAUUUAUGGUGGAACGUCGAUGCUAUCGGAAUUUUUGAAAACUAAAUGCUUUCAGAUCAUAUUAUGUUGCUUGCCACUGGGAGUAAAAGAAUAAGCAAAGGCAUAUCUCAGUUCGUCAUGCUCUUGCUCUGUUUGUAUAGAUGUUUAUGUUAGAUAAAAUCUACGUUGUCGUAUCAUCAAUGUUAGAUAUCAUCUAUUGUUCUACAAUGUAUCCUUGCAAAAACAUGCAGACUCUUUGUGUUGGAUCUCUUAUUGUUGCCCAGUCUAAAUGUAUGACAUAUAACUAUGGCUCAUUUAUGCUUAUUGAAUUUGAGUUGACAUUUUAGAUUGACAAUUUACUUUACAAUAGAAACCAUUGCUCUGUUUGUAGGUUUCAGCCGGAUAUGUAAAAUAUCCCAUAUAGGAAUAGUGUAAUCUUCAAGUUUCCUCAUUACAGGCAUAAAAUAAUCCGCAUCAUGUUUACUCAAAAUCUCAAAUGUAUUUACAUAUGGGUGCAUGUUCUCUGCUUCUUACUAAAUAUGAUCCUGAUGUUUAAUGGAGAAAUAAAUAUUAAGUGCACACAUAAUGCAGUUUUGUGAGGGCAGGAAAGAAACAAAUCUUUAUAUUGGUUCGGGACUGACUGCCCAUUGGGCCAUCUUCUUAUUUUGUUUUAGGGUCCUUGCCUUUUAUGCAUGUUUUUCGCUGCAGGACAUGCUUCCUGUCUGUUUGUAAUUUCUCUUAGGUCCUUAGUGAAGAAAUGAACCAUGGAAUCUGUAAAAAUUAAAACAUUGGUAGGACACUGUUUUAUAUCCAUAAUUUUAAUUUCUUUAGGUCACUACGCUGUAAUCAAAUGAGGAGUGUGUUCUUUGAAGUCGUCGUACUUGUGUGAAUUGAUUCCUUGAACCAAUACUUAAUAUCUGUUGUAUGUAGAUGAGAGAGAUAGUGGUGCAUGUCUAUCACUGCCAUCACUACUUCUUCCGGCUGCCGCUACCAUCGUCCCCUCCCCUGAGCUCUCUGGAUCUGGUGGGCUUUUGCAGUUAGCCGAGGCUCCGUUGGUUGUUGAAUUUUGCCGAUCUUCCAUGUUGUUUGUGGCUUGCCACCAGCCUGACAAGAAGCUGGUUAUUGCAUACAUCCUUUGCAAGUUAAAAUAUUGUGAAGGUCAAUAGGAGGUAUUUCAAUGGAACUUGAUUGUGCAGAUUUUCUUGAACUAAAGCUCGCUAAUAAAAUUGAACUUUCUAUGCGUGAAAUGGAUUCCGCCAAGAUAUAGCAAAAGUAGGCAAUGACAUGUUUUAUGUCACUCUUCAUUAGGGAUUGGCUAAACACAUAAUUAAGAUACUACUAGAAGUUCCAUCAAAAAGUUACUAAAUGUUUUUGUAACAUUUAUGCACAAAAAAGAGUUGCGGAACUGCCAUAAAUUGUAUGCUCUUUGCAAAAUGAUUGCACUAAAAAAGUCUGGAAUAACAUUCCUUUUUAUUUCUUAUAAAGCAAGUUGCGGAACUGCCAUAAAUUGUAUGCUCUUUGCACAAUGAUUGCACUAAAAAAGUCUGGAAUAACAUUCCUUUUUAUUUCUUAUAAAGCAAGUUGCAGAACUACCCUAAAUUGUAUGGUCCUUGCAAAAUGACUGCACUAAAAAAAAUCUGGAAUAAUAUUCCUUCUUAUUUUUUAUAAAGGAGGUCCCUGGAGUAGUGUUACAGAUGGGAAGAGGUAAUCAGUAAUCAAUAUCCUCCCCUUCAUUUUUAGGUGCUGCUUAUGUGAUAACUCAUGUGAGUGUUAUAAGUGUUUACUACAUUCAUUAUUCAGGCAAAUGAGCAAGAUAAUAGCAGCAAUCAACGGUCAGCUGAUCAUACAGAAUAUUCAGAAGCUAGCUCUCUUUUAUCUACUGCGAGAACACCCACUACACUUCUACAGGCUAAUAAGGUAUUUCCUCUUCUAAGAAGAAAUCCUUUCUACCUUUUGCUAUCGUUUUCUUAGUUGUAAUAAUGAAAACUCAGUACGUUCCAGUGUAUCUUCUGUACUAAUGGUCUCAGUAGGCACCAGUGUAUCUUCUGUACUGAUGGUGUAACACUAUGUUCCCUCUAUAUGGCUUCAGACUGUUGCUAUUUGAUCUGUAAUGCCAAUAUGACUGCCAUGUGUACUCUAUGAAUUGCACAAGCUAACUUACUUCUACCUAUCCAACCUACGAGUUUCAAUGUGAUGCUAGAAGUUAAAACUACAAGAAAAGUGAUUUGCUUCAACAAGUACAUGUUCCGUGUUUCAGUAACCACUCUUGACUGAGUGUUCCAUCUAUAAAAAAUUGCUGCUCGCUUGAAUGUAUAUUUCCUUUUUGUUCCAUCGCCGCUGCAAAAAUGAUUCAUCUUGAUAAUUAGACAAACCGAGCCUGUCAGUAAAUAAAAACGUUCAACUUUUUCCACUUUGAAAAAUUUUAACGCCACCUGGAACGUUUCCAAUCAAGCACGAAAAAUGCCUACAAAUAAUACAAAUAUUACUUAAAACGAUAAUAGAAAUUACCAUGAGUGCCAGACACAAAACCUUCCACAGGACAUCUCCUUUUUCUUGCUGCAUCUUCUCGCAUUGCAGUUCGCAGGUUGUUGAUAAGACUUUAGAUCCUUUAUGAAUGGAUCUUCAUAUUUUUUUCUCAUAUGGUUGCAAACAUCCCUUACUCCAUGUCAACACUGUGUCACCACCGCUCUACUAUUGCUCAUCAGUCACACUGGACUUAAUAGUAACACAAUUGUAAAUCCGUGGAGUUAGACAGUACUUUACACUACUUCUCAAUAGAUGCGUAAAGAAAUCAUAACCUUAAUAACUUAUAUAAUUUUCCAUUGUGUUUAAUUUCCAUUUGCUCCAUAUUUUCUCAGAGACGUUUAAUUUGCGAUUACUCCGGCUUUUUUGUACAACUUUGAUAGAAGGAGUUGUCAUGUUUGUAUUGUGUGUUGGAUGAUACUUAUGAAGGAUAUUUUAAAUAUCAAGGACCGCGUGAAGCGCGACACCCGCGUAAAUAUCUCAGUUCUACUCUCAUCUUUGCAUUGGCUCUGGUGUACGGCUGCACACGGUUGCGGCCAAGCGUCUGUCGAUGAUUGCUGAGCACGACAAGGUGACCCAAGGGAGAUGGAGGAAGACCAGGUUAAGUCAGUGAACUGCUCUAUAUGGAAUUGCUACAAAAAAUCAUGUCAAUUUCCUCUACUGUGCCUCCACUCUAUAAGGAAAAAAACCCUGGUAUAUUCUCUAGCUUGUUGGAUUCAUAAUAGAACCCUAAAAAGAUUGGUUUGAUUUGUAACAUAUUAUCUACAAAAAAUGAUUUUGUGCACAUUAGCAUUUUCUAAAGUUAGCAUUACUUACAUGCCCUUUGUGUGCUCAAGAAAUAUAUGGAUAAUCUUUUGCUAGCCGAACGAAUAACAAUGGCCUGUUACUGUGUGAAGGAGUGACCUCUUUCUGAAGAUAUUUAAUUCACCAUGCUUAUUCAGGUGCGAGUUCUGUUUUUGACUGAGAUAUUUUUCCACUUUCUCCAUGUUAAACAAUAACUUAGUGUUCAAUUAUUGUAUGUGUGUGUUAGACGAGUUGUUUUGUUCCAUGUUUAGGUUGAAGUAGUUGUUUGAGUGCAUUAGCCUUUUCAUUUUCUAUUGUGGCAGUUCAUCUUAUUUAAUCUUGAUGUCCUUAAAUUGCUCUAUUCACAUAUUUGCCAAGAUUUCGAGUUUGAUUUCUACCUGUGUAGCUAUGCUGGCAUUCAGGUUAGCUUUCUCUAUAUAAUUGUUGCAUUCCAUUUAUUUUAUUUUUAUUACUACACCUUGUGAUGGAAUGGUCUGAUUGCUGAUCCGGUGUUCUUGCAUUAGCGAUGAAGUAGAUGAGUGACAAGGAUGAACAUAACAAAGGGGUGCAAUGUGGUUAGCGAUGAAGGGCAAGGAAGAUGAAGACACUUUUUGUCAUUCGAUGUCUAUUUAUAUUUUUUGUUAUCUUAUUGUUAUUUUUGUUCCGUUGAAACAAAUGGGCGCUUAAAAAGGAAAUAAUUUCAACUAAAAUUUCCAAUUUUUGGCCACCUAUGUACAUUCGACAUCACUUACAUAUAUCGUCUGAUGUUUGUUUUAAUGCUUCAUGUCCUAUUGCUUAUCUUGCUCCAAGUUCAUGAUAUGCGGUGCUGCUCCUAUUACGGAAAGCAUACCAGAUAGAAAAUUUCCCUAUGCUUUCAAGAUAAUGUUCCUUUUAAGAUUGUAGAGCAAGAUGAAAUAUUUUGAAACGGCAACAGUGCUAGAGAAAGGUGGAUGAUGUGUAGGAAAACGAGGGGUGGAGAAAAACAUGUGACUUGUCUUCUCAAAAUUAGAGGAGGAUUGAAGAGAUAACCUGCCAAGGAUGAAAGUGCGGAUGAAGAGAGCAGAUGUAGAGGGGAAGGAAGGGUGGAGAAAAAUAUGCCACUUGUCUUCUUAAGUAGAAGAUGGUUUGAAGGGAUAUGACAACCGCCGAGGAGGAACUAAGCAUGAAAAAGAUUUAACUCACAUUUAUGAAAUAUAACAAAUGUUUGACAGUGUCUUCUUUAUUCUUUGGCAAUGCAUAGGUAGCGGCGGUUGGGCUAGAGUUACCGAGCGUCGAUGUCGUCGGCUACCUGGUGGCCUCUGACAGUGGAGAAUGGGCUCCCUUCAGCAUUACAAUCCACUACAAGAAGAUGGCCAAGUGAAACAGUAUCGACAGACCAUCACGGCAAGGAGGUUGAGUUGAGAAAAGUGUACUUCCAUCGAAGGAAUGCUUCUCCUUGGGGCUGAUUGCAUUGGCCAUGCUAAGCACCAGAGGAGAGGCAAAGUAACAAAGACAAACAAAAAAAAAGCAUUUUGUAUAUUUUUUUAAUUGAUUAUAGAUUUUACCGUGUGCAUGUACUUCAUGUUGCUGAAUUGCAUUAGUAAAGUUCCUCCAUUGAUAAGUGGCCAAAUAGGUUCUCUAAACCUUCUGCUAGGCCUUCCUUGUGAAUGAUGGUGUAAACUGUUUCAAGUAGAUACACAUAUGUGGGUAAAAAGUAUCAUAUUACAACAAAUCACUUGGUGUUGGAC